rnacentral:tRNA from 1 species
GCCCUCGUCAUCUAACGGAUAGGAUACGAGACUACGAAUCUCGUCACGGCGGUUCGAAUCCUCCCGAGGGCGCCA